rnacentral:rRNA from 1 species
UACGUAGGGGGCAAGCGUUGGUCCGGAAUCAUUGGGCGUAAAGAGCGUGUAGGCGGCCCGGUAAGUCCGCUGUGAAAGUCCAGGGCUCAACCCUGGGAUGCCGGUGGAUACUGUCGGGCUCGAGUCCGGAAGAGGAGUGUGGAAUUCCUGGUGUAGCGGUGAAAUGCGCAGAUAUCAGGAGGAACACCAAUGGCGAAGGCAGCACUCUGGGACGUGACUGACGCUGAGACGCGAAAGCGUGGGGAGCAAACAGG